rnacentral:rRNA from 1 species
CCUACGGGAGGCUGCAGUGAGGAAUAUUGGUCAAUGGACGCGAGCCUGAACCAGCCAGGUAGCGUGAAGGAUGACUGCUCUAUGGAUUGUAAACUUCUUUUAUAUGGGAAUAAACCAUGGUAUGCAUACCCUCUUGUAUGUACCAUAUGAAUAAGGAUCGACUAACUCCGUGCCAGCAGCCGCGGUAAUACGGAGGAUCCGAGCGUUAUCCGGAUUUAUUGGGUUUAAAGGGUGCGUAGGUGGAUUGUUAAGUCAGUUGUGAAAGUUUGCGGCUCAACCGUAAAAUUGCAGUUGAAACUGGCAGUCUUGAGUACAGUAGAGGCGGGCGGAAUGCGUGGUGUAGCGGUGAAAUGCUUAGAUAUCACGAAGAACCCCGAUUGCGAAGGCAGCUCACUGGAC